UGGGGAAUUUUGGACAAUGGGCGAAAGUCUGACGGAGCAACGCCGCGUGAGUGAAGAAGGUUUUCGGAUCGUAAAACUCUGUCUUUUGGGGCGAACGUGAGUAUGGUGAACAAUCAUAGUCAGUGACGGUACCAAAGGAGGAAGCCACGGCUAACUACGUGCCAGCAGCCGCGGUAAUACGUAGGUGGCAAGCGUUGUCCGGAAUUAUUGGGCGUAAAGAGCGCGUAGGCGGGAUAGUCAGUCUGUUGUAAAAGUGCGGGGCUCAACCCCGUGAUCGCAAUGGAAACAGCUAUUCUUGAGUGCAGGAGAGGAAAGUGGAAUUCCCAGUGUAGCGGUGAAAUGCGUAGAUAUUGGGAGGAACACCAGUGGCGAAGGCGACUUUCUGGACUGUGUCUGACGCUGAGGCGCGAAAGCCAGGGGAGCGAACGGGAUUAGAUACCCCGGUAGUCCUGGCCGUAAACGAUGGGUACUAGGUGUGGGAGGUAUCGACCCCCUUUCCGUGCCGGAGUUAACGCAAUAAGUACCCCCGCCUGGGGAGUACGGUCGCAAGACUGAAAC
rnacentral:rRNA from 1 species